rnacentral:rRNA from 1 species
GACGAACGCUGGCGGCGCGCUUAACACAUGCAAGUCGAACGGAAAGGCCUGCUUUCCCUUGUGGAUUGCGGGUACUCGGGUGGCGAACGGGUGAGUAACACGUGAGUGAUCUGCCCCCAACUUGGGUAUAAGCCUGGGAAACUGGGUCUAAUUCCCGAUAGGACUGCAGGGUGGUGCCGGUGGUGGAAAACGAUUUUCUAGUGGUUGGGGAUGAGCUGCAGGCCUAUCAGCUUGUUGGUGGGGUAAUGGCCUACCAAGGCGGCGACGGGGAGCCGGCCUGAGAGGGUGGACGGCCACAUUGGGACUGAGAUACGGCCCCGACUCCUACGGGAGGCAGCAGUGGGGAAUAUUGCACAAUGGGCGGAAGCCUGAUGCAGCGACGCAGCGUGGGGGAUGACGGCCUUCGGGUUGUAAACUCCUUUCGACCGCGAGGAAGCCACCUGGUUGGAAGGGUGGUGACGGUAGUGGUAGAAGAAGCACCGGCUAACUACGUG